rnacentral:rRNA from 1 species
GGGUCAGUAGGUUGGUCGUGCCACCGGUACGUACUGGUCUCACUGAUUCCUCCUUCCUGAAGAACCGUAAUGCCAUUAAUUUGGUGUUGCGGGGAAACAGGACUGUUACUUUGAAAAAAUUAGAGUGUUUAAAGCAAGCUCACGCUUGAAUACAUUAGCAUGGAAUAAUGAAAUAGGACGAUCGAUCCUAUUUUGUUGGUUUCUAGGAUUGACGUA